UUGUGCAGGCUCGCAGUGUGUGUGAAUUUUCGAGCUAUCAAAAUAGGAAUAUGCAUCGAAAAGUUGACAAACAUUGAAUACAUAUCUUGGAUAAGUUUAUACCUAUUUUCUGCUUAUAUUUACCUAAUGUUUGAAAGAUAAUUCAACUAUCAAAUGUGCUUAACAAAAAGACCAAACAUAAAGUUAUUGUUACUGGUAGAGUUUAUGUCUCGAAAAGUAUUAAAUUUCUUUAACAGGAAAAAGGCGUUUUAUCAGUCUGAGAAUUUUAUGUGUAUGGAAGAUCGAAUUAAACGGCGAGACACAUUAAAGGGUUUUCUGCUUGAAUACAUAUUAGAACAACGAAUCCACGAAACCAAUCCCAUUUGCAUAUCUUUUCUAAAAGCUGAACUGGUUUUAUUUCAUCGUCGCAUUUUGGUGAUCAAGAUGAAAUGAGAAUAUUAUUCACGACACUCGAAAGGCCAGAUCCAGAGUAUUCUAGACUCCCUGCCCCAUGGAAGUUGAUGUGUGCCACCGUGGACUGUUACAUAAUCCUGUGGAUUAAUGGUGGUUUCAUUAUGCAGAGGUUCCGCAUGUCGUUUGCUCGCUACAACCACAGUUACAUUAACAAACCCGACGCUCAAUGAACGAUUAGAUGGAAUUGUUACCAUUUUCCGUUCUGAAUGAAGGGCGCACUUGAGUGGGUAUAUAUCGCUCAAGAUAGUUAUCGCGACACGAGAUGGAGUAACGACCGUUCGUUGGUUGGCUGUUCUGAGAGUGCAUGGUCUAAUAUUAUGAUGAGUGAUUCUACAACAACAGAUGGAUAUUAGCAUUAUUGAUUUGGUUGGUUUCGUAGAUUAACGAGACCAUAAUGUACACAUCGUUUAGUUGCAUAAUGAACAGACAGUAACCUGAUUUUGGUAAUAACUGACGUUUGUCAAAUUUGCGAUUACCUGACCUCUCAUCAAUUUAACAUUUGGUUGAGAUGAUUACCGAGUACUCGGCGGUGCAAAGAUUCCGCGAAAAAAGGUGUGUAUGUGAUAUCUGCGGUUUCACUUAGCUGUGUGGAUUUUGUUGUGUAGGCCCACGUGUGAUGUGUUGUGCAGGCUCGCAGUGUGUGUGAAUUUUCGAGCUAUCAAAAUAGGAAUAUGCAUCGAAAAGUUGACAAACAUUGAAUACAUAUCUUGGAUAAGUUUAUACCUAUUUUCUGCUUAUAUUUACCUAAUGUUUGAAAGAUAAUUCAACUAUCAAAUGUGCUUAACAAAAAGACCAAACAUAAAGUUAUUGUUACUGGUAGAGUUUAUGUCUCGAAAAGUAUUAAAUUUCUUUAACAGGAAAAAGGCGUUUUAUCAGUCUGAGAAUUUUAUGUGUAUGGAAGAUCGAAUUAAACGGCGAGACACAUUAAAGGGUUUUCUGCUUGAAUACAUAUUAGAACAACGAAUCCACGAAACCAAUCCCAUUUGCAUAUCUUUUCUAAAAGCUGAACUGGUUUUAUUUCAUCGUCGCAUUUUGGUGAUCAAGAUGAAAUGAGAAUAUUAUUCACGACACUCGAAAGGCCAGAUCCAGAGUAUUCUAGACUCCCUGCCCCAUGGAAGUUGAUGUGUGCCACCGUGGACUGUUACAUAAUCCUGUGGAUUAAUGGUGGUUUCAUUAUGCAGAGGUUCCGCAUGUCGUUUGCUCGCUACAACCACAGUUACAUUAACAAACCCGACGCUCAAUGAACGAUUAGAUGGAAUUGUUACCAUUUUCCGUUCUGAAUGAAGGGCGCACUUGAGUGGGUAUAUAUCGCUCAAGAUAGUUAUCGCGACACGAGAUGGAGUAACGACCGUUCGUUGGUUGGCUGUUCUGAGAGUGCAUGGUCUAAUAUUAUGAUGAGUGAUUCUACAACAACAGAUGGAUAUUAGCAUUAUUGAUUUGGUUGGUUUCGUAGAUUAACGAGACCAUAAUGUACACAUCGUUUAGUUGCAUAAUGUAAAUUAGCGAGAGCUAAUUUGGUAAUUUAGUUUUCCAAGUGGCAAAAAUGGUUUCUCUAACAUCUAAAUUAUGCACAUUUUAGGUAUAUCAAUGUUACCUUAAGUUUCUGAUUGAUAGCUUGAUUAUCACAAAUCGGAAUGAAGUAGAUUGAGAAGCGGGAGGGGGGGGGGGGGGGGGGGGGGAAUGUUCAUGUUCAUGUUCAUGGAAUAGAAACAGGAAAAUUUGUUUGGACGUAAACUAGCCAAAUCUACAAAUCAAAACACCCUGUAGCUCCGAAACCGGAAGUAGUACAAGGCAAGAGUAGUGAUUAUUACACCAAUGGGUGCAUUGCAGCAGAUUUCAACACAUGUGACUGAUUUACGGUUUCCAAAGCAAGCUAUGCGAAUGGAGAAGAAAAAUUCAAGAAGCCCGAAUAUUUAUACGAGGUUUGUUCAAAAAGUAUCACGAACUUUAAAUUCGAUGUUCGAUUAUUAUUCCAAAAUCGCUAAAUUUCACCCAAAAACAGAAUUAAAAUUGCUCGCUCAGGCAAAAUAAGUAGUGAAAAUCAAACUAAAAAUCACCAUUUCAAAAGAAUCAUAUGAAAAAUAUACCUCUAUUAUAAUGUUUAUGACCCUGCAGUAUACAUCUCAUCUAUCACUAUUAUAGUUUUAUGAACAACAGUACACAGUACACAGAUAAAAAUAUUUACAUCUAUUUUCAUGUACAUAUUUGAAGCAGGAAAUUUAUUAUAAAGUUACUCCUCAGGUCUUCACUUUUUAAUAUACUUUGAAGGCAAAAUCAAGCGUAAAUGAAAAUAUGUUGUAUAAUUCAUUUGAAAAUCAAGGCAUUCUAAUUUACUUUUACAUCGAUGAUGGUUUUCAAUCGAAUUUUUGAUUCAACUGAUGUCUAUUUCAAAGUAUCAUUGAAUUACAUGUUAUGUAAAUUUCAUUAUUUUUUCUGUGUAAAUGGAAGUUAUGAGAAGUUGUGUUUGUCAUAGAAAUUUCGCACAAUGUUUCUAAAAAUUUGAAUGAAUGAAAUUCAUAAGGCUUUUUAUUGGAAUUCAAAUUUUCGUGACUACAUAGGGCGAUCUUAUGAUUCGUAUAUGAUAUUCUGUGUGUGCCUGAGUGUUGGAUUCUGUCCGUAACUACCCAAAAAUGCUCCAGAGAGUCAUAACUGGUGACAAAUCAUCAAAGACAAGCUAAAACACUCCCAGGCAGAAUAGCUGUCGAAAACUGACUGGGCAUUCAAAGUUGUUAACAUAAGUAAGGGUCAUGAAUACCAACAUAAUGCCACCAAAUAAUCAAAAAUCGAACAUACGUAGCUCGCGAAAAUUCAAAAUUCGCGAUACUUUUUGAAAAAAAAAAACUCGUAUUAAAUAUCGUAAGUUGGGAUUCAACAAACAAUGCUCAUGAUAUGAUCGUGUUACAAUAGCAAGAUCUAGUCUCCAUUGCGUCGGUGCGAUAUUAAUUACGGUGUUUUGCACGUUCCGGUAAACCGAGAGGAAGGUUUUAAUUGUCUUCAUAAUCUGCGUAAAUCACGUUUGCGUGUUGUAUCACACAUCUUGAUGAUAGAACAGUGUGACAAGCAAGCAUGACACGUAAAUCGAUAUGUGGGUAAUAUCGGUAAGUGCCUAUCAAGCCAAUCGAAACCAAGCCUCCCACAGUGUUCUGAAUGGGAGCGAUUAGAUGUCGAGAGAUUAAAUCACAAUUAACGAUGAUUGAUUACAGCUAACGGUUUGAUGGUCACGAAACUCAAUUUUUCGUGCAAAUACAAAUAUCCAUGCUGCUACUGUAUACGAAGGCAGUGUUAUAGCAACCGUUAUUUAAGGCGAAUAGGAAAGUUUUGGAAUGCAAAGGAAUUUAUUGUAUGCAAUUGGAAUGUAAUCUUAUCAUCGACGAACAAAACUGCUGCAAAAGAAAUACCAAAGCCAUGUCUAAUAUCGCGAUAAUAAUUGGUUCCACCCAACCUUCAAUGAAAAUUUUAUCACCUAACAGUAUAGUAAUAUUUUCUAUACAGUAAUCAAUGUAAAAUUUAAAAAUGUGUAUGUGUUGUAAACCAUGCACGACAACAAUGAUAAUGAAAAAAUUUAACAUCCAGAAGCGAGUAACUUCGAGGGCCUAUUGAACCUAUUGGUAUGUUACUAUUGAACACUGCCAAAUUUAUUUAAAAAAGCUAUCACCAAAAUAAAUAAAUAAAUAGUCAGUGUAGACAACGUCCUUCAAGUUUAAUUUCAUUUAUGAAAAUAGAACGUUAAGUUAAAAUGUGCAUUCUGAAACGUGUAUCAAAAUCUGAUGUCUUUGUUACAUAAUAUCGCCUAUAUGUGAAUCCUUGUAAAGCAUUUGAGUGCAGCGAAUUUUGUUCACAACAUAAGUCUAAUAUACCACUACAAUUUCUUAAAUAUUCAUGAUACGAAUUACACUCUGCUUCGAGAACAAAUAUAUAAAUGUUUAACGGAGGGAUAGCCUAUUUCAUACGAGAAAAGUAAUAACAAUCAAGAAUGCGACUGCCUUCGACAAACAAACGGCGUCUCAUUACGAGGGUAUGUUAACAGGACAAGAUUAUAAUGUAUAGAAAAAGUAUCAACGGUUAUUUACGAGGUGAGAAAGUUAUAGUAAUUUAGUAUGGAACAGUAGAUUUUACAUUUGAGAAUAUAACAAAUUUUGAAAAUAAAAACAUAUGUAUCGAUGCCAUUAGGAUAAGCUAGCAUUUCUCUAAUCUAUAAACAUUCAAUAAAUAGAAAAAUUCGGAUGACAAACAAUAUGGUACUUUGUAGAAACGUGUGGACAUUGUAGAAUCAACAAGCGAAAGGCAAUGAUAUCAGUGUGAUAGUUGAUCAAAAUUAGACUUAUUGGUUAAAAAUUACAGGUUCGUAUGGUCGUUGAUAUUUUAAUAUGAUAUGAAGAGUCAUUAUUCUGCUAGAAAAUCUUACAUCAGAUUAUAAUAAGGAAGUGCAGUUUAACCAUCUAACAAUAUAGUAGUAGGUAGUAAUUAUCCUUAGCAUAAGAGGGGCCCAAAGAACAAAAUGCAUUCACGCAGAUACCGAAGAAUGUUGAUUAGUUUAUCUUCUAACGCAAACAAUACAAACCAAUGCCGACAAAUCAAAUCAUAAUAAUCAUGUCAAUUAUCAGGUUUCGAUUCUGACGAUGCUUUGCUCGAACUUUGGCCGCUUCGCAACCCAUUGAUGUUACUGACCCCCGUCUGACCCUCUGACUUCAAUACAAUCCUGGGCAGCAAUUUCCUUCGCCCUCACUCAUUGGGAGCCAAUUUUAUUUCAAAUUCUCACAUUAAUUCCUGUUGCUACCGCGCUCUCUCGGUUAUUGCUUGGUGUCGAUCACUAUCAUUAUUUUUUUUUAGCUUUGUUAAAUUGGAAGGCCGAACUGUAAAGUUGCUGAAGCAGCAAGCUAGACGACUUGAGUCGGAUGACCACAGCGAGCGGAACAUUUGAUCUCAGUAGUCCAUGUUUCAUCGACCGAAAAGAGUAAGUGUGGGUGCAUAUAAUAUUCUAACUCUUUCAAAUAAUCGUUUCCUAUUCAUUCGCAGAGUGAAAAAAUCUGAUUGGAAGUAAUGUAAGAUUUGAUUAUUCAUAUCUUUAGCAUCAUUGUCUUAUUAUUUUGUUUACGUUAGGUCGAUCAGGUCAGCCCUCAGUAUCUUAGAGCUUCUGCCAUGUAAAUUAGU